rnacentral:rRNA from 1 species
UACAGAGGGUGCAAGCGUUGUUCGGAAUUAUUGGGCGUAAAGCGCGUGUAGGCGGCUUUGCAAGUCGGGUGUGAAAGCCCUCAGCUUAACUGAGGAAGUGCGCCCGAAACUGCAGAGCUUGAGUACCGGAGAGGAUGGUGGAAUUCCCCCAAGUAGAGGUGAAAAUUCGUAGAUAUGGGGGAGGAACACCGGUGGCGAAGGCGACCAUCUGGACGGAUACUGACGCUGAGACGCGAAAAGCGUGGGUAGCAAAACAGG